GAACCGGACAAACGUUUAUUUCGGAAUCAUUGGGCUUAAAGGGUGCGUAGGCGGCUUUGUAGGUGGGGUGUGAAAGCCCUCGGCUCAACCGAGGAAUUGCGCCCCAAACCCCAAGGCUUGAGGGAGACAGAGGUAAGCGGAACUGAUGGUGGAGCGGUGAAAUGCGUUGAUAUCAUCAGGAACACCAGUGGCGAAAGCGGCUUACUGGGUCUCUUCUGACGCUGAGGCACGAAAGCUAGGGUAGCGAACGGGAUUAGAUACCCCGGGUAGUCCUAGCUGUAAACGAUGAGCACUUAGCCGGGGAUCCCCCCCAUAGGUUCCCCGGCUGUAGCGAAAGUGUUAAGUGCUCCGCCUGGGGAGUAUGGUCGCAAGGCUG
rnacentral:rRNA from 1 species